rnacentral:piRNA from 1 species
UGGCAGCAAACAUUAUUGGUGAUUCUGUC